UUUCUGUCAUCAUGAAUUUUUUGACGUUAUCAAAACUCAAAACAUGCAUAAAAUGUCAACACAGCAGCUAAGUGUUGAGUGCCAGCACUACCUAUGAGCGCUACCAACUGCAAGUGCUAGAAGUAGACGGCAAGUACGCGUUUAAAUGUGAUUACAAGGAACGUCGUGUGCUGUUGAUGUGAUGUAAAUUGAUGUAAAUGUAACAGAACGUGAUCUUGAAACUGUCAAAUGAGUUAAAGUUCAACUUCAAAGACCCUAACGAUAAAAUAAAAUUUGGCUUCAAAAUGAAUUAAUUCAACCUAACAUGUCAUUUGGAUAUCAACAGCCUUUUUUGGACAGUGGAAAAAAUAGUCCGAGUCCACGUUAUUUGUCACAUUUUUUAACCUCUUUCGGGAGCAAAACUACAUAAUUGGUAACAAGAUGCCGAUAUUUUGGGAUUGGUUACUGACAAUCUAAGGUGGACUAACGUCCUCGUCAGCCAUGCUCAUCAAGGAGUAUCGUAUUCCUCUGCCUCUUACGGUGGAGGAGUAUCGAAUUGCCCAGUUAUAUAUGAUCGCUAAAAAAAGUCGUGAAGAGAGUAGCGGAGCUGGAAGCGGCGUUGAAAUUUUAGUAAACGAACCUUACAAAGAUGGGCCUGGCGGACAAGGACAGUACACACACAAAAUUUAUCAUGUAGGCAGUCAUUUACCAGGAUGGCUGAAAGGAAUUCUUCCAAAAACAGCACUUAUGGUUGAAGAGGAAGCCUGGAAUGCUUAUCCCUAUACCAAAACAAGAUAUACUUGCCCUUUUGUUGAAAAAUUUUCUUUAGAAAUUGAAACUUAUUACUAUGAAGAUAAUGGGCAUCAAGAAAAUGUAUUUCAUUUAACAGGUGGUGAUCUCAGGAAUAGAAUUGUGGAUGUGAUAAAUGUUGUUAAGGAUCAAUUGUACGGUGCUGAUUAUUUAAAAAGUGAAGAUCCGUCUUUUUACAAGUCGGAAAAAUCGGGUAGAGGACCGUUGACUGAAAAUUGGUUAGAAGAUUAUUGGAGAGAAGUGCAAGGAAAGCCCCAACCAUUACCCAAUGGAAAAGCUUUAAUGUGCGCUUAUAAAUUAUGUAAGGUGGAAUUUAGAUAUUGGGGCAUGCAAACAAAAAUAGAAAAAUUUAUCCAUGAUAUAGCUCUUCGCAAAACAAUGCUUAGAGCGCAUAGACAAGCGUGGGCAUGGCAAGAUGAAUGGCAUGGUCUAACUAUGGAGGAUAUACGAGAAAUUGAAAAACAAACUCAGCUUGCAUUAAAAAGAAAAAUGGGACAGAAUGAGGAUGAGGAAAUUGAUGAAGAUGAUAAUUUAAAUAAUAGCACAUCCAAGGAAGAUCCUGUUAAAACUUUAGCAGCAACUCUUGGAAGUAUAGAAGUUUCAGAAGACAGUCCUUUAAUGACUAAAAAUGUAAACAUUCCUUCUAUUCAGACCGCAAUCAGUUCAGAUCCUGACCUCUCGCCAGACGACGAAAUAGCAGGAUGUCACAAACGUGAAGACAAAUGGCAACAACCUCGUGGAUUACACUCUCCAAGCUCAUCUUCUAUAAAAAGUUUUGAUUUACAAGUUGCGAAUUGGAGAAUAGAAAGUCUAGGCAGAGAUUCAGAGUCGGGAUCCGAUGAAGAAUUUUUCGAUUGUGAAGAUUCUUCAUCUCUGGCAAAGUGGAGUUCUUUGGACCUUUUAACAGAAGAAGAUAACGAUACUACCUCACCGACUGUUGUUAUUGAUAAAAAUGACGACAGCAUAUUUUCUCCUACAUUCCUACAAAGAGUGGCCAGCGAACGGAGCAGCCGGAAAUUAGUGCAAAGAGGAAAAGUAAAUUCCUUGGAUGCAUCAUGUCCGGAAUCUCCUAGUGCAUCUCCUGCGCAUUUGUCAUGUAAUACUACAGUAUUACUUUUGGUGCUUCACGCAGGAAGCGUUUUAGACGCCAACAUUGAUGUAGCUGCAAAGAAAUCUGACGUCACUACUUUACGAGGAGCAUUCGAAUCGGUUAUACGUCAACAUUAUCCCUCGCUAUUAGGUCAUAUUGCAAUAAGAUUGGUGUCUUGCCCGUCUAUUUGUACAGAAAGCCUUGCAAUUUUAUCUAGCCUUAGCCCGUAUAGUUUUGAUGUUUCGCCUUCUUGCAUAGAUGUACCUCAAAUCACGCAUGACUCUAUACCAAUUGGUGCUAUUCCAAUUCUAGCGACUUCAACAUCUGACUAUCAAGAAAUUGUGUCACGGACAAUCACUGCAGUAAACGCAACUUAUCAGGAAUUUUUGAAGUCAGAAGACGGUCAAGGCUUUACUGGACAAGUAUCCAUUGUUGCUGAUUCUAUAGGUUCAAUUUUAGCCUAUGACGCGCUCUGUAGAAGUACCAAAUAUCAGUCCAGACAUGGCAGUGAAAAUAGUAUUUUAGACAAUGAUAAUGGCCAAAAAGAUGAGGUGCAAGUAAAUGAGACAGGAUAUUUGACAGCUCCUUCUCCUCGCAGACGAUCGUCUUCAACAAGUGAACAAUCUAAUCAAAUGAAAUUCGAAUUUGACGUCACAGAUUUUUUUAUGUUUGGUAGUCCGUUAGCAUUAGUUUUAGCAUACAGAAAGGUAGCGGCCAUUGACGAGAAGUCGUAUGUUAUAACCCGUCCAAAUUGUCUUCAAGUUUACAAUUUGUUCCAUCCCACAGAUCCUGUAGCGGCACGUUUAGAACCACUUUUAUCGGCAAGAUUUUCAAUACUGCCACCAGUUAAUAUAGCUAGAUAUGCUAAGUAUCCCUUAGGAAACGGACAACCGUAUCAUUUAUUGGAAAUUCUUCAAACUAAUCCCCAAAUGUUUAGUGAUACUUCCCAACAUAGACGAUUAUCUGAAGUUUCUAUUCAGAGUACAGUUUCAGGACUAAUUGAUAAUAUUCCUCUGCAAGCUGUUAAUGCUUUGCAACAAAAAUGGUGGGGUGGGAAAAGAAUGGAUUAUGCUCUGUAUUGUCCAGAAGGUUUAUCUAACUUUCCUACAAAUGCAUUACCACAUCUAUUUCAUGCCAGUUAUUGGGAAAGUUGUGAUGUGAUCGCUUUCAUCCUGCGACAAGUAGGUGGAAUUGAAGCGGCACCGUUAUCAGGCGUUGAGGAUAGGGAAUUGUGUUUCAAACCUGGCCAACCUAGAGAAAAAUGGAUUAAAAAGAGAACGUCUGUUAAAGUUAAGAAUGUGACGGCCAAUCAUCGAGCAAAUGAUAUAAUUGUCCGAGAAGGUGCACCUCAACUUUUAAUGGCAAGAUUUAUGUAUGGUCCAUUAGAUAUGGUUGCUUUAACUGGCGAAAAAGUAGAUAUUCAUGUAAUGAGAGAUGUGAAUAUUGGAGAAUGGGUACAGAUUGCUACAGAAGUGACUGAUAAGGCGGGUAGAAUAACACAUACAAUUCCAGACGAAAAAUCAUUGGGGUACGGUUUAUAUCCGAUAAAGAUGGUUGUAAGAGGCGAUCACACAUCUGUUGAUUUCUUUAUGGCAGUAGUUCCUCCUAAAACUGAAUGUAUAGUAUUUAGUAUUGAUGGUUCCUUUACUGCUAGCAUGUCAGUUACUGGGAGAGAUCCCAAAGUUAGGGCAGGUGCAGUUGAUGUUGUAAGGCAUUGGCAAGAGCUGGGAUAUCUCAUCGUGUACAUAACUGGAAGACCUGACAUGCAGCACCGGCGAGUUGUUUCUUGGCUAUCGCAACAUAAUUUCCCCCAUGGACUUGUGUCAUUCGCAGAUGGUCUUUCUACAGAUCCUCUGGGACAUAAAGCCGCUUACUUACAUAACUUAAUCCAAAAUCACGGUGUAAUAAUUCAUUCCGCAUAUGGUAGCAGUAAAGACAUAAGUGUAUAUACCUCAGUUGGACUAAAACCAAAACAAAUAUUCAUCGUAGGAAAAGCGUCAAAAAAACAACAUGCUCAAGCUACAAUACUAAUUGAUGGUUACGCUGCUCAUCUUACAAAUUUGAUGGCCCACGGUGGAUCGAGGCCUGCUCAAGGAAAUGCCCGUAUGGUUAUACCACGGGGAUAUUUUGGUUUGCCGGGUCAAAGUUUUUCAAGGAGAAGAAGUGGUGUCACUGUUUCAGCCACGACACGGGCAUCUCAUCUCCUGCGCGCAACAGUGGCUUUCUGAAGCGCAAAGUUUACAUUAGUCAUGUCUAACAUUGACGAUAGUUACUUAGGAUAUGCCGAUCUGCAAAAAGGGCAACAUCUUACCCGAUAGCCACAGAAGUAGCACCACUGGAAAGAUCUCUAAGUACUCGACGUUAUCAGUUGCCAAAACCUACGCUUUCAACUAUUGGAAAUCAUAGUUCCGGAUAAUAGCUCCUAUUGAGCUCCAGAGUAUACAUGUAGUAUUAAAUAACACUUUUAGAUCUU